rnacentral:lncRNA from 1 species
GAAUCACAAUCACUGCCAUUGAUCUGUAUCUCAGCUCCCUCUCAAUUAGCGUUUCACAGCUGUCACUGCUUGGUACAAGCUAGAACUGUUCUCUUUCUCUCUCCAGGUGCUUGGCAGAGGUCUUUGUGUUCUCUCUCCACUGUUCUUCAGAAGGGUCUUGCAGCAAAGAAGGAUCUGCAGUGCUGGAGAUGCUGUUGGCACCCAGUUUUGUGAUAAAGUGAUGAGCAGGAAAUGAGGAGCUUCACCAGAUGCUGUGUGAGGAAUCACCUAUUUGCAGCCUGUGUUGGGUAUCAAAUUGUCAGACUGGAAGCUGCUGUGUUUCCUCAGUCCUGGAAUGAUGAAACUGUGUUCCUACAAGGAGGAAAGGACAAGGAUCUAAAAAAUGUUUCUCCAGAGGUUGGAAACCUUAGCCUAAGCCUACAUUAA